rnacentral:rRNA from 1 species
UACAGAGGUCUCAAGCGUUGUUCGGAUUCAUUGGGCGUAAAGGGUGCGUAGGCGGCGCCGUAAGUCAGGUGUGAAAUCUCGGGGCUCAACCCCGAAACUGCACUUGAUACUGCGGUGCUAGAGGACUCGAGAGGAGAUUGGAAUUCACGGUGUAGCAGUGAAAUGCGUAGAUAUCGUGAGGAAGACCAGUGGCGAAGGCGGGUCUCUGGACAGUUCCUGACGCUGAGGCACGAAGGUCAGGGGAGCAAACGGG